AUAGGGAGUCUGACCUGCCCAGUGAGAACUCUUUAACGGCCGCGGUACUCUGACCGUGCAAAGGUAGCAUAAUCAUUUGCCUUAUAAUUGAAGGCUAGUAUGAAUGGUUUGAUAAGAAUACAACUGUCUCUUUAUAAUUUUAUAGAAAUUUAUUUUAAGGUGAAGAAGCCUUAGUAAAAUUAAUAGACAAGAAGACCCUAUCGAGCUUUAAAAAAAUUAAUAGAAAUUAGAUAAUAAUGAAUAAAAGCUCUACUAUUAAAAAUUUUAGUUGGGGCGACUGAGGAACAAAAGAAGCUUCCUCUAAAUACAUAAACAUUCAAGUUUUGAUCCAAAAUUUUUGAUUAAAGGAAUUAGUUACCGUAGGGAUAACAGCAUUAUCUUUUUUGAGAGCUCUUAUCGAAAAAAAGGUUUGUGACCUCGAUGUUGGACCAGAAUAUCCUAAAGAUGCAGAAGUCUUUAAAGGUUGGUCUGUUCGACCAUUAAAAUUCUA
rnacentral:rRNA from 1 species